GGGAAACACCCAUAGCUCAGUGGUAGAGAACCUGCUUUGCAUGCAGAAGGUUCCAGUUCAAUCUGUGGUGGUAUCA